rnacentral:rRNA from 1 species
UAGAAGAGAUAAUGCUAAAAUUAGUAAUAAGAGAUUACCAGAAUCUCUCCUGACACACGUGUAAGUCAAAUCGGACAAACCACUGACAGAUAACGGACCUAAAAGAAGGAAAAACAACAAAUAAAACAAACAAGAAAACACUGUACCACUAAUUAACCGUUAAUCCAACACAGGGGUGUCUCAAGGAAAGACUAAAAGGGGUAGAAGGAACUCGGCAAACACAAACCCCGCCUGUUUACCAAAAACAUCGCCUCUUGCUAAUAAAAGAUGUAUUAGAGGUCCCGCCUGCCCUGUGACCACAGCGUUUAACGGCCGCGGUAUUCUGACCGUGCGAAGGUAGCGUAAUCACUUGUCUUUUAAAUGAAGACCUGUAUGAAAGGCAUCACGAGGGUUUAACUGUCUCCUUCCCCCAGUCAAUGAAAUUGAUCUGCCCGUGCAGAAGCGGGCAUAAAAACAUAAGACGAGAAGACCCUGUGGAGCUUUAGGCCAAGAAUCAACCAUGUAAUAUAGAUUGACCCUCACAAGACCAAUAAAAAUCUUUAAGCCAAGUGUAAUAUGGUUCAAGUGCCUUCGGUUGGGGCGACCGCGAGGGAAAACAAAGCCCCCGCAUGGAACGGAGACAUCUCCUAAACCAAGAAAGACAGCUCAAAGCAACAGAACAUCUGACCAAAAAUGACCCAGGACAAUAAACCUGAUCAAUGAACCAAGUUACCCCAGGGAUAACAGCGCAAUCCUUUCCCAGAGCCCCUAUCGACGAAAGGGUUUACGACCUCGAUGUUGGAUCAGGACAUCCUAACGGUGCAGCCGCUGUUAAGGGUUCGUUUGUUCAACGAUUAAUAGUCCUACGUGAUCUGAGUUCAGACCGGAGUAAUCCAGGUCGGUUUCUAUCUAUGAAGCCACUUCUUCCCAGUACGAAAGGGCCGGAAAAAGGGGGCCCAUACUAAAGGCAAGCCCCACCCUCACCUUCUGAAAACAAAUAAAAAGG